UACGAAGGGGGCGAGCGUUGUUCGGAAUUACUGGGCGUAAAGGGCGCGUAGGCGGCGACCCAAGUCAGAUGUGAAAGUCCUGGGCUUAACCUGGGGACUGCAUUUGAUACUGGGUUGCUUGAAUUCGGGAGAGGAUAGCGGAAUUCCCAGUGUAGAGGUGAAAUUCGUAGAUAUUGGGAAGAACACCGGUGGCGAAGGCGGCUAUCUGGACCGACAUUGACGCUGAGGCGCGAAAAGCGUGGGGAGCAAACAGGG
rnacentral:rRNA from 1 species